AUUUUUAUGCUCUGUCAGGAAAUCGUUGGUGAAACGUUUCAGGUGGGUAUAAAAGCGAAAAACGCUAGUGGUGCGUCAUUCGACGAUUUUACAGAGUACGGCGAAGUGUAGAUGGAUUCAUUGGAAAUUCAGGUUUUUUGAGAAAUGUAUGAGAUUGAUAUCCAAUGCCAAACUUUACAGGCUGCCGUUGGAAGAAUUUCUUUCGGCUUUAUCUUGAUUAAUUCGCAUUACGAGAAAUGAGGCAAGUGAUGAGAAAGGGGUGAAGGUCACUGGUUCUAUUUGCACAAUUCCGGUUCCAGUGUUAUGAAAGUGGUUUGGGUUCGAGACUUUUCCAGAGAACUGAUACCCUGAGGGAAGAGAACGGAAUGGCAGCUAGAGAUGAAGACAGUUGGUAAAUUACAUCAGAUAUUUGAUUGAUUUAAUGCACAGAAAUUUUUGCAAGCUAUCCAUGAUGUUAAGGCAUGUCCAUGUUCCUUCUUGUAAAAUGAUAUUUUACUACAUGUCUACUGAUGCAAUGAUAAAAAAAGACUAAAACAAGUGAGAUUAUCCUGCCCUGACUGUUGCCCAUUUGUUUUUUGGUCUGCAAGAUGUUGCAACUGAUCAUACACAUAUUGGUCUGUUAAUUAUUAUAUCAAGCAUGUUUUCUACCCUAGGUGUUGCUAUUCGGAAUAAACAGAAUAGAUUCUGAAUCGGGAAAGAAUUUAGAAAUGGAUAUGGUAAUCAAAUAACCCUAAAAAUGCAUGGUUCAGAAGUUGAUUGGCCUAGUUUGUGAUAAUCUGUGCAUCGAUCAGUCAAAUACUUGUUCUGAAUUAAAUUUUAAGAUAGAAUAGUUCCUUGAGGCUUUGUUUUCAAAAUAAGUGAUUCUAAAUCUUCGACAUUUUAAGAAUAUUAAAAGUGCCUUUUCCCCAUCAAAAUAGGGGUUAGGAUGGCCGAAUGGUUAGCACUUGCGCACUGUAUCAUAAGGUCGGUCAUUGAGUCAACUGGUGUGGUCGGUUGUACUUGACAAGGAGUAGGGUCGCCUGUCCAACUUUGUGGGUUUUUUCUGGGUACUCCGGUUUCCUCCCACUGCUAAAAGACCCCUACUGGCAAGUAAAUUAUUGAAAUAGAAUUGAACCAUGUGUCAAUCCCAAAAUGACCUAGUUUGUGUUGAGUUGACGUUAACCCCAUUUCUUCCCCUCUUCAAAAAUGUGUUUGCAAUUUAGUAAUUCACAUAACUUAAUAUCCAAUCUUUAAUUUGGAUUGAUUUUCUUUUUUUCAGGAUGGUCAUCUUCAGUACUGUUAAAUAUUACUGCACUCACAUUGUGCUCUUUGCUAUUGUAAGACCUUUUAUGAUCAAAGCCGUUUGUUACAUGGAAAAUCGUGCAAACUUAACAGUAAGCCAAGACUAAGUAUUACAUGUGUGCCUAAAGUCUGUUAGUUCAUAUUCACAAUCGAGAUAAUAAAAUUCAGGGUAAAUAAUUCUCAUUGUGUCUCAACUUCAUGAAUAUGCCCCGGUUGUACGUGACAAGGAGUAGGGUCGCCUGUCCAGCCUCGUGGGUUUUCUCCAGGUCCUCCGGUUACCUCCCACUGCUAAAGACCCCUACGAGCAAGCGAAUUAUUGAAAUAAAAUUAAACCAUAUGUUAGUCCUGAAAUUACCUAGUUUGUGUAGAGUCGACGUUAAACCCCAUUUCUCUCUCUCCAUGAAUAUGAUAGUAAUAGACGUUGGGCAUUAUACUUAGCUUUAGCUUCAGCUUCAGCUUCAUGAUUUUUGGGGGAUUCUCCAAUUUAAAAGUGCCUGUGGUUGUGACAGAAGCUCCAGGGUACACAUAUUUAGGUAACUCCCACUCCAGCAUGCAAUGGAUGGAUUUAUUAAAAAGUAAAGUAGGCCUUUACCUACUAAGUGCCGAAAUGACCUAGUUACUGUGAACUAAAGGUCAUUUAUCUUGUAAAAAGUCAUAACAAUGGUACAUGUAUCUAUCAAUUUAGAUUCCUAUAUACAUGUAGUGUACUGAUUGUACGUGACAAGGAGUAGGGUCGCCUGUCCAACCUGGUGGGUUUUCUCCGAGUCCUCCGGUUUCCUCCCACUGCUAAAGACCCUUACGCGCAAGCAAAUUAUUGAAAUAAAAUUAAACCAUAUGUUAGUCCCGAAAUGACCUAGUUUGUGUCGAGUGGAGUUAAACCCCAUCCCCAAAGUUGCAGCUGAAUUUGUUCAUUCAGUUGAAUGAUUGAGCUUAAGAACAGAGUUAUUUCCCUUGGGUUGUAAUUCAUUUAUAAAAUAGUCAAGAAUGAGCAAUUUAGUUGUUUCUCUGCCACUAUUAUUUAAAAUGGAUAUUUAUAGAUCUGAAGAUGGCUAGUCCUCAAGGAACAUAUUCUAUUGAUAUUUUACAAGAACCAUUUGCUUAAGU